CUCCGUUUAACUCCAUCGUCUCUCUCAUCAACACGAGAAGCAACCCAACAACUGAGUACAAAUGGUACUCUUUGGUGGAAUUCAAGAGAUAAAGUUCAUCAAUCUCUUAGAAUGGAGACAGAUUCUGCAGUGGAGAACAUGGACGCAGAAAGAAGAAAUCUACCAUCGCAAGCUAGUUUGAGAGUCAGGGUUCCCGAAGUUGAUUGAUUGUAUUUUGAUGUAAUAUCCUAUUUGAAAAAUUAUGUACAACUUGUUUUUGUUAUGGUACAACUUGAAUAAUUUGAAUCUGAUUUUCAGACUUUCUUAA